GACGAACGCUGGCGGCGUGCUUAACACAUGCAAGUCGAACGGAAAGGCCCUGCUUUUGUGGGGUGCUCGAGUGGCGAACGGGUGAGUAACACGUGAGUAACCUGCCCUUGACUUUGGGAUAACUUCAGGAAACUGGGGCUAAUACCGGAUAGGAGCUCCUGCUGCAUGGUGGGGGUUGGAAAGUUUCGGCGGUUGGGGAUGGACUCGCGGCUUAUCAGCUUGUUGGUGGGGUAGUGGCUUACCAAGGCUUUGACGGGUAGCCGGCCUGAGAGGGUGACCGGGCAGAGUGGGACGGUGAUACGGCCCAGACUCAUACGGGGGGCAGCAGUGGGGAGGAUGGCAAAAUGGGCUGAGGCCGGAUGAAGGAACGCCGCGUGCGGGAUGAGGGAGUUCGGGUAGUAAACAGCUUUCGCCUGUGACGAAGCGUGAGGGAAGGUAAUGGAUAAAGAAGAACCGGAUACCUAAGUG
rnacentral:rRNA from 1 species